rnacentral:snoRNA from 1 species
GUGCAUGUUUUGGCCGUUUUUGCCGUCUCUCCAUGACAAUAGAGACGUCACGCACAAACAUGCUAGAUUAACACUGAAAUGUUCGGGAGCUAACAGGGCCACCAGUCUUUCAAGGUCAGACUGAGUCGGUAGUAUAAAACUCCCACAGUC